CUUAGUUUGAGAAAUACUUUUGUCACGAGACCAAUUUGGUAAAUAAUUUGCCAACAAAACUCAAUUUGAUAAAAAGUCCAAAUUUCCAAGAGUAAAAGUAAAGUGACUAAAUUCUAAAAUUCCAAAAAAAUAAAAUAAAAAAAAAUAAUAAGAAAAAAAAAACCUACAGCCCUAAAUCUUCCUCAGCCGUUUUCACUCUCUCUUUUGUCUUCACUCUUCUAACUUCUCUAAUCUUAUGCUACUCAUCUGAUCUCAAGCGCUCCGGCAAGGCAAGGAAGCCAAUUCAUGAGCUUCCUGUACUCGAGGUGCACUUAAUUUGAUUUGCAUGAGGUUCUCCAUUCCCUCAGUCGCCUUCUGAGCUUUCUCUCCUCCAUUGAAGCCAGCCUUUGAGCAAUGGAUGAUCAUAUUAUUUACGACAAGCCUAUUAUUUAACCAGAGGGAACAGAGGAUGAGUGUACACCAGAGGAAGAAGCCAAUGUUCGUACACAAGAGGAAGAAGCCAGUGAUCCUGAACUUAUAGUUGAAAACAACAAUGUGAGCACUAUGGAAUCUAGCUUUCAAGCUGUAGAAAAGAAACGGAGUCUAGUUUGGCCGAAAUUCCUCACGUUUGACAAGACGAAAUCUACUAAUGGGAAACAGAGAUCAAUUUGCAAACAUUGCCAAAAAGCAUCCUUCAUAUCCAACCCCCAUUUUGGAACCCAAAAUAUUCAAAGGCAUCUAAGAAAAUGUAGUGCAUAUGAGAAAUAUUUGAAAAACCAAGGAGGAAAUGGUUCAAACAAAGGGCUAUCUUAUAUCGUGAGGCUUUUAGGGAGAUGUCUCAAGUUCAAAAAUGGUGUCCUACCUUUGAAUAGUGGGAUGUUCUUGAGAAGAUUCGAGAUGUUUUAGAACCCUUCUAUGAGACAACUAAGAUGUUCUCAGGAAGUGAGUAUCCCUACCUCAAAUCUUUAUUUUGGGAAUGUUUGGAAGAUUCUCAUGCUUUUGAUAGGGUUGGAGCACGAUGAUGAUGAUGUUUUGAGGACAAUGGCAAUAGAAAUGAAGAGCAAGUUUGAUAAGUAUUGGUUUAACUUAGAACAAGAUGAUUAUGGCAUGUUAUUUGCAUUUGCUAUGAUUCUUGAUUCUUGUUGCAAAUUAUCAGUGCUAAAGUUUUGUUAUGAAGACAUAUUUGGAGAUGUUGAGGCUACCUUGAGAGUUAGUGAUCUCCAUCUUAAGUUGGAGAAAUUUUAUAAGCUAUAUGCCCAAAUUGGAACAUCAUCGACAUUGAACAACAACACUGAUAUGGCACAUGCCUCACAUUCCAGAGCCUCCAUAAACAGCACUUCAACUAGAAACCGCAAGCGAAAAUUCGACUAUUUUGCGGAAUAUGACGAUAAAGAGGCCUCAUCUUCUUUUGAUGAGAGGUCAAUAUUGGAUGUUUACCUUGAGGACCCUAAACUAGAUCGGAAAGCGGAGCUUGACAUAUUAGCUUUUUGGAAAGAAAAUGAGCAUCGAUAUAAAGGCCGUUCUCAUUUAGCUAGAGAUAUUUUGGCCGUGCCCCUGACAACCUUGGCUUCCGAAUCAACUUCAGUAUUGGGAGUCGAGUAUUGAAUAAAUGGAAAAGUUCAUCAAUUCCUGAAAAUGUGGAGGCUUUAAUAACAAUUCGUAGUUGGAUGUACUCUUUUGAAACAAAUGAGGAUGAUGGAUUUUUUGGUUCUUAUGUGGAUUGGGCAGCGGCUCCAAGUGUUAAUUGUCAACAAUUUUAAAGGUUGGAUAUUGGAGUAAUUAUUUAGAAUAUUUUAAAAUUUCAUUUGGUAUUGAACAUUAAAUACGCAUUUAUUAUUUUACUAUUUUUUAUUUCUAGACUUGUGAGAAUUGUGACUUUUAUUUCAAGCCUUAGUAAAUUUUUUUCUCAAUUUAUGGACAAACUCCGUAGAAUAGUCGUUAAAUUUCAAUCUUUUUACGAAUUUUUAAUAACUUAUAAAGAGAAAAGGCCGAAGAAAUCGAGAAAAGUAAUGCUCAAAAUAUGUAAAUUACUUACACUGUUACACGUUACAAA